ACAAGUUAAAAUAUCUGAAUUGUGUCUGACCAUAACUGGAGUUGUAUUCCUAUGGACAACGCUUCAUGAAGAAGACUCCAUUGAUUUUCCCAUGACCAGGCGGCACAAUCAAGACCCCCUUGAGAAGUUCUUCGGUUCAUUCCGCCAGCAGGGAGGCAAUUACGAUAAUCCUACCCCACUCCAAUUCACCAGGGCUUUCAGAACACUUUUUAUGACCACUGUCUAGUCCUUUCAAGUGGAAACUGCACAGAGGAUCUAGAUGCAAUUCUACUGGCUGGGUCUAACUUCCAGAAAGCAUCAAAGCCACCUGCAUGGGAUGUCGCAGAAAGACCAGCCGCAGCUCCUAUGGAAGUUGAUGUCACCGACUACAAAUCCUACCUGGAAAGUAACAUCAUCUGGAUGAAUGCAGUAACAUAUGUCACAGGUUAUCUGCUGAAGAAGUGCUUUCUGAAGCAUUCCUAUCAGAAUGCAUUGAUCAAGCAAGAGCUAAACAGCAGUACACAAUUGCUAUGUUUUAUUCAAGGCAUAUGAAGAAACAAAAGAGAAACCUUUUGGUGGACUUGGAAGCAAAAUUUGUGAUAGAAUUUGAAAACAAUUUUAAGUAAGUUAGAGAUUGGGAAGUACUUACUUUCAAAACUUCCCACGUUUUCAUUGUUAGGAUGUUAGGAUGUUAGCUUUCUUUUCUUUUCUGUCAUGGCUUUUUUGUGAAAAAAAUUAACUAAAUAAAACGUUCAAACCC